rnacentral:rRNA from 1 species
GACAGAGGGUGCAAACGUUGUUCGGAAUUACUGGGCGUAAAGCGCGUGUAGGCUGCUCCGAAAGUCGGAUGUGAAAGCCCUGGGCUCAACCUAGGAAGUGCACUCGAAACUUCGGAGCUGGAGUCCUGGAGAGGAAGGCGGAAUUCUCGGUGUAGAGGUGAAAUUCGUAGAUAUCGAGAGGAACACCGGUGGCGAAGGCGACCUUCUGGACAGUGACUGACGCUGAGACGCGAAAGCGUGGGGAGCAAACAGG